UGUUCCUACGGGGGGCAGCAGUGGGGAAUAUUGCACAAUGGGGGAUACCCUGAUGCAGCGACGCCGCGUGAGUGAAGAAGUAUUUCGGUACGUAAAGCUCUAUCAGCAGGGAAGAAAAAGAGUCCUUUGGACUUUGGACGGUACCUGACCAAGAAGCCCCGGCUAACUACGUGCCAGCAGCCGCGGUAAUACGUAGGGGGCAAGCGUUAUCCGGAUUUACUGGGUGUAAAGGGAGCGUAGACGGC
rnacentral:rRNA from 1 species